UACGUAGGGUGCUAGCGUUGUCCGGAUUUAUUGGGCGUAAAGAGCUCGUAGGCGGUUUGUCGCGUCUGCCGUGAAAGUCCGGGGCUCAACUCCGGAUCUGCGGUGGGUACGGGCAGACUAGAGUGCAGUAGGGGAGACUGGAAUUCCUGGUGUAGCGGUGAAAUGCGCAGAUAUCAGGAGGAACACCGAUGGCGAAGGCAGGUCUCUGGGCUGUAACUGACGCUGAGGAGCGAAAGCGUGGGGAGCGAACAGG
rnacentral:rRNA from 1 species